AUGGCCGCCAGCCCAGCGCCACAGCACAAGAUGGCCGCCAGCCCAGCGCCACAGCACAAGAGGGCCGCCAGCCCAGCGCCACAGCACAAGAUGGCCGCCAGCCCAGCGCCACAGCCCAAGAUGGCCGCGGAGACAUUGUUGAGUUACUUUUCCAGGAUGUGCCAGAUCCCGGAGAUUCCCAGGAGUGUUCACAUCACGGCCGCUGAGCCAGCGCCAAUGCCCAGGAUGGCCACCAGUUCAGCACCACAGCGCAAGAUGGCCGCCAGCCCAGCGCCAUUGCACAGGAUGGCUGCCAGCUCAGCGUGCCCAGCACCACAGCACGGGAUGGCCGCCGGCCCAGCACCACAGCACAAGAUGGUUGACUCAACGCCUGAGUCUUCCGUCAAGGAGCCACCGGCACGCCAUCAUAGAGGCCGCAGGAGGAGGAGACAGGCGUCAGCCGUUCCUCGAAGCCCGGAGGACGUUCCCGAGCAGGCCGCUGCCGUCCAGGAGGACGUUCCCGAGCGGGCCGCUGCCGUCCAGGAGGACGUUCCCGAGCGGGCCGCUGCCGUCCAGGAGGACGUUCCCGAGCGGGCCGCUGUCGUCCAGGUGGACGUGCCCGAGGUUCCCGAGGCGGGGCUCGAGGUGGUUCUGGAUGCCGAGGCAGUGCCCAAGGCUGUGCCCGAUGCCGAGGCGGUGCCCGAGGCUGUGUCCGAGGCCGAGGCGGUGCCCGAUGCCGAGGCGAUGGCCGAGGCGGUGGCCGAGGCAGAGGCGGUUCCCGAUGCGAUGCACGAGGCAGAGGCGGUGCCCGAGGCGGUGCCCGAUGCCGAGGCGGUGCCCGAGGCCAGGGCGGUGCCCGAUGCGGUGCCCGAUGCCGAGGCGGUGCCCGAGGCGGUUCCCGAGGCGGUGCCCGAUGCGCAGGCCGAGGUCGUUCCUGAGGCGGUGGCCGAUGCGCAGGCCGAGGUCGUUCCUGAGGUGGUGCCCGAUGCAGAGGUCGUUCCCGAGGCGGUGCCCUUGUCCAAGGCCGUUCCCGAGGCCGUGCCCGAGGCCGUUCCCGAGGCGGGGGCCUUGUCCAAUGCCGUUCCUGAGGCCGUUCCUGAGGCCGUUCCUGAGACCGUUCCCGAGGCGGUGUCCUGGUCCGAUGCCGUUCCUGAGGCCAUUCCAGAGGCGGUGGCCGAUGCUGUUCCGGAGGCCGAUGCGGGGCCCAAGAUGGCUCCGGAGGCGAUACCCGUGUCCAAGGCCGUUCCCGAGGCGGUGUCCUUGCCGUGA
ensembl:lncRNA